AUGACACCUCAUUAUCAGAUGAGGACAUCAGCAAAGUGUGUGAGUCUGUCACAAGCUUUGAUCUGUUUUCCAUCUGUCAUACAGGGCCAUUGAGGACGGUGUAUUCAAGGUCUCAAACUUUCAAAGAAGCAUUCAAAUAUGUGGAGCCAAAGAAAAUGUUUUUAGGGAGGGAUGAGAACAGGGUAGACAGAUUUGCCUAUUAUGUGCCUUUGAGAGAGACUUUAAAAUUUUUGUUAAAGUCUGACUUGAUACAGAAAUCAGAGGAGCCCUCUGAGUCUCCUUCUGAUGUUCUGUGUGACAUAAGGGGUUUAAGUUAUUUAGGUCUAAUGACUUCUUUAGUCAAAACCCACCAUGUCUCAAGCUAAUACUUUACCAGGAUGCCUUUGAGGUUGCUAACCCUUUGGGCUUUGCAAGAAAAAAGCACAAGAUAUUAGCUGUGUAUGCAUCUUUGGCAAACUUGCCACUUCGCGUUUGUUCAGAUACGGACCACAUGUCCCUCGUCUUACUUUGCAGGGAGAAGGAUUUCAGAGAUUUUGGCCAUGCCAAGGUCUUUUCAGAAUUACUAUCAGACAAUGGGAUUGCUGGACCAGAUGAAACAAAGUAAAAGGAACAUUGUUUUGCAUUGCUGGAGAUAAUCUGGGUUCUCACUGUAUUGGUGGCUUCUCUGAAAACUUCAGUUCCUCUAAGUACUUCUUCAGUUCAGUUCCUCUAAGUACUUCUGCAGGUAUCGCCUGAUUACCAAAUCUGAGAUUACCAGAGAAAACUACAACUCUGCUGUGAACCAUCUGCUAAUCGACAAUACAACAGACGUUGAUGGAGUAAAGUUUGGGUCAGUAUUAAAUUCUUUUAAAUACUUCCAUGUUUGUAUGCCAGGCUUGCCACCAUGUCUUGGUCAUGAUAUCUUUGAGGAAGUUUUAUCUUACGAUGGGGCACUUUAUCUUAAGUAUUUCAUAAAGAAAAAGAAAUGGUUAACUUAUUCUACUCUGAAUUGACACAUCAAACAGUUUAGGUACCAUGCCUCUGAUGCUUCUACAAAACCACGUGAGGUCAACACAUCUGAGAUAGUUUCUCAUUGUUGUUUUUUUUUCUUGGCAAAAAAAAAGGUUUUAAGGUGAUGACACAGCUAAGACCUGCGUAUCUUUUCAAGAAAGUUGGUGUUCCGGACAUUUUCAAACCCCCAAGUUUAAACAACGUCAAUAAAUUAAUUCUCAAAGACUUCAGCAUUGUAAGUACAUGGUGAGAUUUCAAGUGGUAUAAUUUUUUUCCUUAUCUUUUCAAACGACUUUCCAAAAAAUUGUUUUUGUCUUUUUGCCCUACAGCUGUGCUGUUGUGAACAGCAUCAGAAGGAAGGGAAUGAGAAGCAAACCAGUGUCAAGAAGAUUACCUACUAAAAACGGAAUCAAACAUUGGCAGGAAAUUUUUCGGGCGGAUCCUCUCGGUCCAAGGUGAAAACUCGAUGGACAGCAAUUUGACUUCUCCAGCAGAACUUCUCUCUUUGAUGCCAUGUACAUUUAGAACCUGAUCUGUCUGAGGGCCAUCUUCAAGCAAGUCCAGACUCAGUGACUUAUUACUCCUGUUCAGUGAGGGGCAAGUGACUUUUUUUUUCAAGUUUUUGUUCAACCAUUACUAGUCAUAUGCUACAUUGUCAAGGUUUAUAGUGAUUUGUGAUCAUGCAGACAAUAUAAUCUGUACUGUCUUCUUACCCAAAUGUUAUUUACAAUUGUCUCAUUGAUUUUCAGUGAUAAUCAGUACCUUAAUUAAAUUUGUGCAUCUUUAAGUUGCCAAUGUAAAACUUACACCAUAAAAACGUAUGUUCCACAUGUACUGUACUGUAUUUUUAGCGGUUAAAAUAUCGGCAGCUGUGGUUGCCAGGAAUAUACCGUGAAAUUUAACUGGUAGAAAUAAAAAUGUUUUACAAUUU